rnacentral:misc_RNA from 1 species
CCCGGCGUAGACCUCCAUGGCCGUACAAGAGAGCUUCUGCUCCUCAGGGGUGUAGUCACUCCAUUCCUUGACUUCUUCAGCGACAACGGGAUGCGCCUCGACGUCCUCACGGAUCAUGCCUAGCUCCUUGAGGCGCUGCA